rnacentral:lncRNA from 1 species
GCGGCCGCGCUGGUUCUCCUUGAGGUCCAGGUAGUACUUGCGGUUCUCGCGCACCAGGAACUCGCUCUUGAGCGCGCGGCGCGGCCCGCCGCCCUCCUCGGCGCCCGCCGCCAGCUGCUCGGGGCUGCUGGGACCCAGCUGCGCGUAGUGCUCGAUGAAGUCGCCCAGCGAGUCGCGGAACUCGGCGGCCACCGCCAUCGACAGCGUGAGGCGGCUCUUGGAGCCGCCCGCGCCCACCUCGGCGAUCUUGAGGAAGCGGCCCUUGGCGUUCUGCUUCACGUCCAGGAUCAGAAAAGAAGUCCACCCAAGCCUUGCGUAUACCUCAGUACUGCUCUGUCCUCAGAGUACAAAAAGAGGACCCAGGUUCGAGUCUCAGAACACACACACGGCAGCCCAUAAGCCAUGUAUAAUUCCAGUUCCAGGGGAUCCAGCACCCUCCUCUGGCCUUCUUGAGCACCUGCACACACAUG